rnacentral:rRNA from 1 species
GACGAACGCUGGCGGCGUGCUUAAUACAUGCAAGUCGAACGGUAAGGCCCUGCUUUUGUGUGGUGCUCGAGUGGCGAAAGGGGGGGUAACAGGUGAGUAACCUGCCCGGGACUUUGGGAAAACUUGAGGAAACAGGGGCGAAUACCGGAUAGGAGCUCCUGCAGCAUGGUGGGGGGCGGAAAGUAAGGGUGGAUGGGGCUGGACGCGGGGGUUAUCAGAUUGUUGGUGGGGGAGUGGCUUACCAAGGCUUGGACGGGUAGCCGGCCUGAGCGGUUGACCGGCCACAUUGGUACUGCGGUACGGCCCAGACUCCUACGGGAGGCAGCAGUGGGGAAUCUUGCACAAUGGGCGGAAGCCUGUUGCAGCAACGCCGCGUGCGGGAUGACGGCCUUCGGGUUGUAAACCGCUUUCGCCUGUGACGAAGCGUGAGUGACGGUAAUGGGUAAAGAAGCACCGGCUAACUACGUG